rnacentral:tRNA from 1 species
CGUGGGUAUGGCGCAGUAGGUAGCGCGCUGGUUUUGGGAACCAGAGGUCACAGGUUCGAACCCUGUUGCCC